CAGCGAAGAGUGUGGUGUCAGCAAACAUAGGUGCUGAAUUGUUAAUACGAGGUAUGGCAACCAAAAUUAAUAAGCGAAGAUAAAGAUUAAGAAGAAAAUAUUCUACAUAGUUUGAAAACGACGUGAUAGAAAAACGGUAACGACGGCAUGUGGCAUGUUCUUGCAAGUUCACUUAUAUUGAUUGUCGACACAUGGCGACACUAUCGACCAACGAAAAAUAGACGCACAACUCGCACAAGCACGAGGAUUUCUAUGCAUACGUAGGCAACAUCUGUGCAAUUAACUAAAGCAUAGCAUUCAGUAUGAAUUGAAUCUCUGGAGAUAGUCUUCUGUUUCUGCGACCUCCAUAAAUCUAUAUUUCCAAAUACACAAACAAAUAUUCCUUUUGUGGAUUUUUUGUCAACUAUACCUGCUGCCUACGCUUCAACCAAGCGUGUACUGCUUUGACUAUUCUGAUGAGUUAAAUAAUUUACUAGGAAGGAUACAU